ACAAGGUUUCCGUAGGUGAACCUGCGGAAGGAUCAUUACAGAACCUUCGAGGGGUUUAAUAAGGAUGCUGGCCGCGCCCGCGGCAUGUGCUCGCCCCUCUUUUCAUUUACACCUGUGCACCUAGUGGGAUGCCCCUCGGGGCGUCUCUCUCUUCUUACAUCAUCGAUGCCUGUUAUAAACGCAUGUCUCAGUUGAGCUCUACGGAGCGUCAUUAAUACAACUUUCAACAACGGAUCUCUUGGCUUUCGCAUCGAUGAAGAACGCCGCGAAAGCGCGAAACGUAAUGUGAAUUGCAGAAUUCAGUGAAUCAUCGAAUCUUUGAACGCAUCUUGCGCCCCUCGGUCAUUCCGAGGAGCAUGCCUGUUUGAGUGUCGUUAAACACCCUCGGCCGUCCUUUCUGUAUGUAAGGUGGCUGGACUUGGACGCUGCUGUUCCGUAAGGGACGGCUCGUCUCGAAAUGCAUUAGCCGCUCUGCCUCGGUCCUAUCGACGACGAUGUGAUAAUCGUAGAUGUUCGUCGUCGUCGUGGGACCGCCGUAAGGGUGGGUGGCUUAGAAUCGUCCCUCUCGGGGGGACUCUACUGAUGUCUGACCUCAAAUCAGGUAGGAUUACCCG
rnacentral:rRNA from 1 species